rnacentral:pre_miRNA from 2 species
UGCAGUCACCCAUAAAGUAGAAAGCACUACUAACAGCACUGGAGGGUGUAGUGUUUCCUACUUUAUGGAUGAGUGUACU